AAGGUCGGGAUGACGUCAAAUCAUCAUGCCCCUUAUGACCUGGGCUACACACGUGCUACAAUGGGCGGUACAAAGGGUCGCGAAACCCGCACGGGGGAGCCAAUCCCAAAAAGCCGCUCUCAGUUCGGAUUGCAGGCUGCAACUCGCCUGCAUGAAGCCGGAAUCGCUAGUAAUCGCGGAUCAGCAUGCCGCGGUGAAUACGUUCCCGGGCCUU
rnacentral:rRNA from 1 species